GAUGUCUCCGCCAAAAAGCUCCAGCAGCGCGAGGCCGAGCUGGCGGCGCGGGACGCGCGGAUCCGGGAAGAUGAAGCUGAGAUCAGGCACCUGCGGGAGCUGCUGGGGGAGCAGGACUCCGCUAUCCGUGAGCGCCGCCGGAAUUCGGGAAUUCGGGAAUUAUUUGGGAAUUCAGAGUUUGGCCCAAAAACCCCCAAAUUAAUUAAAUUAUUUAAAUUAAAAAAUGAUAAUUAAGGGGUACAAGUUAAAAUCCCUGCCCGGCCCGGGGGGUUUUGCACCUUGGGAAGGGAAAACUCGGAGUGGAAACAAUUUAAUUUAAUUUAAUUUAAUCUAAUUUAAUUUAAUUUUAUUU